rnacentral:rRNA from 1 species
CGGGGUGGAGUAACGCGUGGAUAACCUGCCUCACACUGGGGGAUAACAGUUAGAAAUGGCUGCUAAUACCGCAUAAGCGCACAGUACCGCAUGGUACGGUGUGAAAAACCCAGGUGGUGUGAGAUGGAUCCGCGUCUGAUUAGCCAGUUGGCGGGGUAACGGCCCACCAAAGCGACGAUCAGCAGCCGACCUGAGAGGGUGACCGGCCACAUUGGGACUGAGACACGGCCCAA